rnacentral:snRNA from 1 species
AUCUUUGCGCUUGGGGCAGUGACGCAACUAAUGAGGUACUAACCGAAUGCGCGUCUAUUGCUGGUUGAAAACUAUUCCCAAACCCCCCCUCAUUUCUAAGUUAGACCCUAACCACUUUCUAUGCAUUUCGAUUGAUUACUCUACUUUUUUUCUUGUUUGAAUGAGUAAAAAA